ACAGCUGCCUCAUGCUCAUGCUUUGGACGGUGCCGUCCGUUCCACCUCUUUCUUUUCUCUUGGUCGGUUGGUCGAGUCUUUGAGUUCCUCCAUGAGAUUUGACCGAGGGCUGGGUUUCUCUCGACCGGAGCUAGGUUCCUCCGUGAGGAGGGAGGAAGCCCGCCGCUGCUGCUUCUGUUAGUCUGAUGAUGGCGGGAGCGACGUCAGACACAGCAGCCGCGGGCGCAUUCGCCGCCUCUGGCACCAGCGCCAAGCCGCGGGGGGCCGCCUCCGCGUGCCCGAGGGUCGUCGCCGCCGGUGGGCGGAGGCGCUGCAGGGUCGUGCACUGCGACGCCGGCGGGGACGCACAGGCGUUCGCCAAGGCGGCCAGCAUCGCCGCGCUCGAGCAGUUCAAGAUCUCCGCCGACCGUUAUUGACCUUGUGUUCACAGCCUAUCUGUUCGGCGGGCCAAGCAGUUUGAGAGGUAGGAUACAUGAUACCAAUCAGUUGUGAUGGCAUAAGAGCCAAUUGGACAUCAAGGUAUUGAAAAUGUCGAUAUCUUCAUGAAACCUUGAUUAGAUUUCUUUUUGCUCUGACUUUCGAAAGAUUGGCAACUUGUAGUGGUAACUCAUCUUGGAGUCAUGCCCUUCGCAGAUAUUUGCACUUCGUAUGUUCAUUGCUGAUGAAUAAAUGAUAUAGUAUUUUUUAUUUCAACAAAAAGAUUUGACAUACUUUGCUUAGCAAACUGGUGUUCUUACUGUUGCAGCAUAAACUAAGGAGCCUGCCUGACUAAUAAUACCAAAUACUAAUAUAAAUACAGAUCACAUAAUAUAAGAUGGUAAGAAUAGACGGUAGUUGUCCCAUGGUUUGGGUAUCACAUAUUGGCCAAUUGCAGGAAAUCUUUGAUUCUUGUUUGGUAUUAUUUCGUUUUGUGCUUUAGUCCAUCCGAUAUUUGUACUGGAUACCAGUUUCUAAACUAUGACACUGUAUGUGCUGAUCUCAAAUUGGUUACCAAUGAGCAGGGUGAAGCCACAUCUUCCUAUCUCUACGCGCUCUCCCAAGGAACUCACCAAGACUUUUGAAUCGAAUGAUGUAGCAGAACGGAGAUGGAAGAACGAUUCAGAAUUCUGGAUAUUUUUUUUAGAUAUUUGCCUUCCUGAGAUUUCAUUUAAUUGCGAAUGUGUCACAUUUCUUUCGUAUGCAGAAAUCAUCACUCAUUCUCAUCUUAUGUAAUAGCAUGCUUUUGUCAAACUAUGGUAAAUAGAUCCACUAUAACUUCAAAACUGAAAUUCCAUUCGGAUUUACUAUGGCAUUUUUUUUUGCUAAUGUUUAGCUCGCUGGUAUUUCCAUUCACCAGUUACUGUAUUACAGUACCUUGAACCUUCUUCAACAUACUGUAUCUCCCUUCUUUCACACACAUUUAGGUGGCUUUUGCUCUGUAAGCUUUUACAUUGCAAGUCUAUUUGCUACUUCUAUGUUUAUCAAUAGUAUAUAUCAAUGAACUUACUUGAGGACUAUAAGUGUGUAAUUAGAUAAUUAAUUUACUAUAUUUUGGAAGGAUUAUCUUAGAUACUCAGAUCGCAGAGUGUUCUGAAGAAUACUGCUGCAGUUGGAAACUGUUUCGUAGUUCAGUAGCCGUGUACUUCAAAAGCUGAUCUGAAUAUGAUUUUUAGUAUGUUAUGGUUCAGGGACCAAUUUGUGUCUUCAUUUCUUGAGUAACAGAAAGCUUGAGAAACUUGGAUUUUAUCUUAAUUACUCGACGCAUACUCUUUUUGAAUCAUUCAAAUUUAGUUUCUCUUUUACUGCAAAAGAACCAAUUAGGCUGUAUCUAAAGCUAGCCCGCUAUCUAAAAAUGAUUCACAUAGAUUUCUAUAUGAUUACAAGAUUUUUUUUAUGUUAAUCUGUCUUGGUUCAUGUAUUUCAGGUUACAGACCCAUCAACGCUUCUGUGUAGUCUCUUAUCUGUUUAUUCUAUUAUUUUGACAGCCAUUAUAGAAGGUGACACGCUACAAGAGUAUUGGAUAUUUUGUUGUUCCUGAGUUCAUUGUAUAUGUACCAAAAGCUUGAAAGGGUCAGCUAUUUUCUGUUUCCUCUUUGCACAGGUACAUGAAUACUUCUCAUUAUAUGUGUAUAUUAGUAUAUAGUACUACCUAGCCAUGUUGAUGUUUCUGUAACAGUAGCAUCUCUUUUUGGUGGGAUAGUAACAUAACAUGUAUUCUUAUACAAUGCUAAGCUGUGAGGAUAGCCACAAUUAUUUACUUUUGUAUGAGCAAAAUAAAUGUAGUUUGUUGUUUACUGAUCUUAAUGUUGUUAGUUUAUAGGGUUAUUGUGAGUUGAUGGCUAAUUUUGUUGGGUUUCUUGCUUAAAAUUAUCUUAGAGAAUGCAAUUUGGUCAUGUGCACUCCCCCUAAACUUGACAACAGUUGUUUUUGAACUAUCAAAGUAAGAUAAUUGGUUGUAGAACAAACUCAUUUCCUGCCCUUCAAUUGUUUCAUUAGCUGUGUUUGGUUGAGUAUUAAACUAAGCUUUAAGCGUGGUGAAUACCCAGCCUGCUGAGCCCCUUCCCUCUGCUGCAGAGGAACCACCAUGUUGAUGGCCGUGGGGCUGGAGGCGGUUGGUGCAGUGGGCUAUACCUUUAUUUGUAUAUUAGCUCUAUGAAACAAGCAUAUGAUGAUCUGAUUCAGCUAUCUAAGUUACACACCAUAUCGCUACAAGUUACAUCUCCAGAUUCAAUAUCGCUACAAUUUAUGCCAUUUUUUUAUUUCCUUGUCGGUUCUUACAUUGGAUUUGACAGUCUAUCUUCCCAUUUUCAUAGCCAAACGGGUGGAUUUGGACCCACCUAUGUCUCAACUUGGAAUUUUGAUUUUUCAGGUUUUUGGAUGUACCUAUUUCAUAUCUGUGUACUUCCCUAAACGUGUUGAAUAACACAUGUGAUCCAUAUUCCAUGUGCCGAUGUGCCUAAUGUUUAGUUUUAGACCUAUUGUUAUUCAAAAGUAAUUAUUUUCUCUUACACUGCAGCCUAAGCAGCUUCAUGACAUAUAUGGAUAGGUCGAGCAUGUCUUUUUUUUCGCAUUUUUGCUUGACCAUUGCAGGCCUGGUGCGAAGGACACUUUCUCCUA